CUAGGAUUACAGGCAUGACUCACCACGCCCAGCGUCUCUGCUUCUAAUACUCAGCUUUUCUCCUCUGUUAAUGAUCAUCACUUCCCAAGAAGAGACCAGUGGAAAUUUCCUGCAGCCACUGUGUUUAUGAGCAGUGCAUGCAUGUGAUUGGGCACACACUGGCCCACUUUUUCUCUCUUUCUUUUCUCUUUCCUCUCUUUCUUCUUUUACUCAUACCCAUCCCAUCUCUUCAUCCAAGCAGAGGAGCUGCAUAAAUGCUCAGUGAUGAGCAGUUAAUGAGUAAUGCAUCCCACAUGCUGGACAGAACCUCUCCUGGCGUUCUUGAAUCCAGAGAAAUUGCCGGGCUCACGCAUGAAGCAGAGGGUUCCAGGAACCCACACAGGCCUCACAACAACCCACGAGAUCAGUGAUGACUGCCCCCAUUCGCCAGCUUUGCAGGGAGAGAUCAAAACCAAGGCGAUCUUCAGGCCCAAGGGAGGCAGGGAGGAGGCUUGCCGAGCCCACCCCUGUGAAGAGUUCUGCGGGUGUCCAGGCUGAGUGCUCUGCCAUGUGGCUCACUGAGUCACAUCCUCACACAAACCUUCGGAGAGAAGUCCGUUAUUCUUCUCAUUUUACCCAUCAGGAAGCUGAAACUCCAGAAACAGUAAGUCACUUGUCCAAGAACACCCAGACCGGAAGGGCACAUUUCCAUGUCUGCAUCUCAAAAUGAGUAAGUUGCUAGACCACAUAAAAUUGUGUUACCCCUAAAAUAAGACACUGGCACAGCAGCUGGUACACAGUAAGUACUCAAGAAAUGAGUAGUAUGAAAGAACCCACCCGACAGGCGGCUGCUGAGAACUUCACUUGGCUUCGGGCCGGUCAAACCUUCCAGCGUGGAUGAGAAUCCAGUAGUAGCAGGUUGCACAGUUUCAGUUUAUCUCAGACACCCAGAGUUUGGACCUUCAAGACGCAGCACACAAAUGGAUGUAAAUGAGAUGCAAAUCAAGCUGUCCCCAGAUUAACAGGAAAUCAAAUAUCUCUAGCGAUAGCUCUUUCCUCUCCUUAUGGAGAUCAAGGGCAUGGGCUGUCUCUGAAGGCAAUCCAAAGCUCACAUCUGUCUGACUUCAUGAUUACCACCAGCUCUCCCAGACAGACAAUGCCAUCGCCAAGCACUGCCAUGGCAGUGCUUUCAGGGGCCCCGAUUCCAGGGCCUUAUUUCCCCUCAUCCUCUUUGAGGAGUGAGGGCCUCACAGGUUUUGAUCUUCGGAUCAGAAGAGAAGGUGAAAUUUCUUCUUGCUCAGGACUUGGCGAGUGAGAUCAGCUCUAAGUAGAGGCCCUGUAAGAGGCAUCUGCAUGGCAACAGAAAUUAGAACUGCAGUAAUGUGAUGUAACAAGAAAUAUAUACUUGGUUUCUGCCCCCGGUUCCAGGCACAGAGCUCCUAAAACCCUUGUAAUGUUCCGAGCAACAGGGGUGCAAGGUACCUCUUUUGUUCUAAUAAUGUUUGGUCUAUGACCCUAGUUCCUGACCGAGUUCCUAAUCCCUUGGAAUUUCCUGGGUGAUAGGGGCAUUUUUUGUUCUAAUUAGGUGACUCUUGUUGGGAUGCUGGGUAAUUUCAGGAUGGGGGCUGGUCCCCAGAGAGACUGGGUCAUAAUUGGAAGCUUGGAACUUUCAGCUCCCUCCUCAUCCUCCAGGAAGGAGAGGGCCUGAGGAUUGAAUUAAUAAGUGACCAUACGUGUGUGAUGAUGCCUUCAUAAAAAUCCCAGAACUAUAGGGUUUGGAGAGUUUCUGGAUUGCUGAACACAAGGAGGUCUGUGGAGGGUGGUACCCCCAGAGAAAGCAUGGAAGCUCCACACCCCUUCUCUCUUACCUUGCUCUAGGCAUCUCUUCCAUCUGGCUGCUCUUCUGUAUAUUUUGUAAUAUGCUUUGUAAUAAAUGUGUAAACACAAAUAAUUCCCCUGAGUUCUGUGAGCUACUCUAGCAAAGUCAUUAAACCUGAAGAGAGAAUCAUAGGAACCCCCACUUUAUGGCUGGUUGGCCAGAAGUACAGGCCACAGUCUGGAGCUCAUGAUUCACAUCUGGAGUGGGGGGCAGUCUUGUGGAACUCAGCCCUUAACUUGUGGGAUAAAAUGCCAUCUCCAGGCAGAUAGUGUCAGAAAUGAAUUAGAGGACACCCAUCUAUUUUCCCCUGGAGAACUGGUUGUUAGUGAGGAGAAAUUCACACACAUUUUGGUGAGCAGAAGUGAAGUGUUCUGUAGUGAGUGGUGUGUGAGUAGGAAAAGCCAUGUGUGUUUUCCUAUCUCUUAUGAUAACAACCAUAGGCAUCAAUAGAGACCUGCAUGGUAUGAUGAGAUGCAGGGACAAUGAGAGCUCUGCAUGGUAUUCUGAGAUGCAUGGUAUGCUGAGAUGAAUGGUAUGCUGAGAGCCCUGCAUGGUAUGCUGAGAUGCAUGGUAUGCUCAGAUGCAUGGUACAAUGAGAUGCACGGUACGAUGAGAGCCCUACAUGGUAUGCUGAGAUGCAUGGUAUGAUGAAAUGCAGGGACGAUGAGAGCUCUGCAUGGGGUGCUGAGAUGCACGGUACACUGAGAUACAUGGCACGCUGAGAUGCAUGGUACAAUGAGAUGCAUGGUAUGCUGAGAUGCAUGGUACGAUGAGAUGCAUGGCACGAUGAGAGGCAUGGCACGAUGAGAUGCAUGGUACGAUGAGAUGCAUGGUACGAUGAGAGCCCUACAUGAUAGGCUGAGAUGCAUGGCAUGAUGAGAUGCAGGGAAGAUGAGAGCUCUGCAAGGUACUCUGAGAUGCACGGUACGCUGAGAUGAGUGACACCAUGAUGAGAUGCAUGGUACACUGAGAUGCAUGGUAUGAAAAGAUGCAGGGUCGACGAGAGCCCUGCAUGGUACAAUGAGAUGCAGGGAUGCAGGGCCUUAACAAAAUGCAAAUGCAAAUGCCUGCAGGUGACAUGCAGAAUGAAACCAGGAGUGUGGAAGGAAACCACCAGGGCAGCCCAAGGAUGGCAAGUGGUAUUGGACCACUGGUGCCUGGGAAGCAAUAGGAACUGGGAUACAUCAGAGGACCUGCCUUGUCUCCAGCUGGAGCCCCCACUUGGAUGGGGCCUGCUACUGCUAUGUAGGAACUGCAGGCACAGAUCAUCUGAUACUUCAGAAGAAGCUAAUGAUCUUGACUUGUAACACGACAUUCUUGAUUACUGGUUCAAUGUGUUGUAACACCAAUGAGCUUAACAAAAAUUUGAGGUUUCUGGCUCAUGGCUUCCUGCUUACAGGACCUGUAUCAAGAAUGGUUUUCAACCUUUCUUCUCGCGGACCCUUUGGAAAUGCAAUGAAUACAAGUCAAAAGAAAAGCCCCGGUGUGAGAAGAUAUCUGCAAUUCAUGUAACUGCCAAGGAUUGAUUUCUAGACUAUAUUAAAAUGAAACCCAACAAAAAACCCUUUAUGAAUCAAUAAAUUAAAAACAAUACAACCCAAUGGAAAAAUGGGUAAUAGACUUGAACUGUACUUUACAGAAAGGACACCCUAAUGGCCAAUAAAUGUAUUAAAAGUGUCAGAUCUUAUUAAUCAUCAAAUAAAUGCAAAUUUAGCAAAAACAUUGCCCAUACACACACCUACAGGACUGGCAAAAGUGAAUCUACCUAACAAUACCAACACUGGCGAAGAUGUGGAAGAACUGGCACUCUCAUGCUGGUGGGAGUGUAAACAGGUAGAAACACUGUGAAAAAUGGUUGGAUUACCAAUAGUCAUCUUGCUUUUUAAACCUUAGGAGGAUAAUGAUCUGGCUUUGGUGUAUUAAAGCUUAAUUAUUUAU